rnacentral:lncRNA from 1 species
GCAACACACAAAAAGGGCCAAACCCCUCUCACAAACCAGUUCACAGAUCUCACCAAACAGCACAAAGAGCAAAUCAGAAGGGAGGAGAAAAGAAUAAGGGAGAACAUGGAGACGGCCAUGUGCGAUGGAGGAGGAGAAGAUUUUGAACCUGAUGAGGAGCAACAAAGAAGAACAUCAGUGGGAAAUCAGCAUCACGAUCCAUAGGUCAGCAACAGUCCCAACUGCUCACCAUCUUCUCUCUCAACCAUUCACAUGAACAAAUCAGGAGGGAUUUUCUCAUCUGCAAGAGAUUAGAUCAACAUCAGCUGUAAUUCUGGGAAAUUGCAUAAUUUUUGUGAUCAAUUACAAAGACAUCAUCAAGGGAAAAACAUUGAAAAGUUGUAGUUGUUCCAAUGGAAAAUACAGUACAAUCCCAGUGUGAAUUUCCAGCCAAAAGGAACAUGAAAUACAGCAAUUACAUAGAGACAUCAUCAAGAAAAUACUUACAGUUAAAAUAAACAUGGAAAUACAGCAAUUACGAAUUUCCAGUGUGAAUCACAUGCUUUUUGUGUGAUCAUUUACAGAGACAAGCUUAAACAGGGUAAGUUUCAGAAAAACUUAAGUAAUUUUUACACUGGAAGAACCAGUGUAAAUCCCAAUGUAAAAUCCAGUGUCAAGCCCAAUGUAAGUGUAAAAUCCCUAGUAAAAUUACAGUGUAAGUAGCUGGUAAUUUCCAGUAUAAAUCCUAGUGUAAAAACUAUUGUAAGUAACUUGUAAUUUCCAGUGUGAAAUACUACUGUAAAAUACAGUUUAUACAUUUUAAGCAAUUAGGAACUUCUAGUGUCGGCAGGUAGAAACUUAUAUAAUGAAAGCCACAGUAAUAAAAAACAGAGGUAAAUGCAUUGAAAGUACAUACUAAGUAGAGCUAGAGCAAGAAAAUAUAUUCAGAUUACAAACAAAGCAGACAGACUUUACAAACAUUAACAUCUAUUUCUAAAAGCUUGUUUCCUGAUGAUUACGCUAACACUGACAUUUUCUUUUCAAAUGUGUCAGGAGAGGAGCAUGAUGAGG